CCACAAUUACUACAGAAAUAUAGUAUUGACUAAAUUCAACUCUGAUCUUUAUUAAACAUAAACAUUUGUAGAUGGGUGGAUUCUUGUUCUAGAGAUAAACUGGGCUUUGUCAUAGAAACAAACAACAACAAAACAGACAAGCUGAGAGGCCUUGAAUUGGUUGCAGUUCCUUUUCUUAAAAUUCAUAUUCCUGUUUAAUCCCAGAGAAUUCAGAUCAUUUUUCUUGUUUCUUGCUACAUUUUUCAAAGUUGAGUACAUCUAAGCAAGAACAGAGUAUGUGGAGAAGUGAUUUUUUUUUUUAAUUUCCUCUGCCCUUCCAAAGCCAUCCUAUUUGCCUAUGUUGCUACUAAUGUUAAUCUGAGUCAU
rnacentral:lncRNA from 1 species